AGUUUCAAACUGUUAGGGACACCUGUUUGGGUUUUCUGUGUUUAUUGCAAAAUCACAUAUGCUGUUGCUUUCUAAUGUAACACAGAAAACCCUAACAGGU